rnacentral:rRNA from 1 species
UACAGAGGUCUCAAGCGUUGUUCGGAUUCAUUGGGCGUAAAGGGUGCGUAGGCGGCGCCGUAAGUCGGGGUGUGAAAUUUCGGAGCUUAACUCCGAAACUGCAUUCGAUACUGCGGUGCUUGAGGACUGGAGAGGAGACUGGAAUUCAUGGUGUAGCGGUGAAAUGCGUAGAUAUCGUAAGGAAGACCAGUGGCGAAGGCGGGUCUCUGGACAGUUCCUGACGCUGAGGCACGGAAGGCCAGGGGAGCAAAACGGG